GUGUUCGCAAUGAACACCUUAAUAAUCGAGUCUUUAUCGCAGCUUCAAAUAGGGAAAUAUCGAUAAUCGAUAAUUGACGCCUCGCUACUGUCAGACACUGUAUCGAAAUUUUAUCGACGUCAAUUUUAGCGGUCCAUAUGAUUUUGCGUCCGAUACUGAAAACUGUUAUCCUCAGAUAAUUAUUCCAAACAUGAAAAGGAUGACUUAGAAGUAUAAAUCUCUUUUAAAGAAGAAGCCACAAAAGCAAACAUGUGGCAGUUCUGAAAUCAGCAUUAAAAUAGAUAAGUAUCUGAGCCCCCCCCCCCCUCCCCCCCCAAAAAAGAUCAGACAAGACCAUAUCAAUUCCAGUUUUAUUCAAUUUUAGUGAAAUUUUUCAAGAAACAAGAAUUGUGACAACUUUUUACUUGUUGGUCCCUUAUCUGCUGGUUUAGCAGUGGUUAUUUAAUAUUUUUACAAAUAGAUAUUCAAACCGAGUGCCUAGAAAAUAAUUUUAUGAAAAUUACUCAUCUUUACGUAAACAUAUAUCUACUAACCGGUCAUUGUAACGUGCAACUCUGUAAAUGGACUUAAGCUGAAAAAUUCAAAUGAAAAGUACCUACCAAAAUAAAAAGGGUUGAAUUUUAAGUACCCAUUGAGGUUUUGCUCAAUGAAUAGCUCUGUACCUAAAUAUUUGAACAAGUAUUCCUGAAACCUAAAUGGCUUUCACAGCCCUCAUCUCAUUGCUUCAAGAAAGUGUAAACAUUUAAUAUUCCUCUGCUUAACCGUUUCCUUUUGUUUACAGAGCACCUAAGUCAUUGGCUUGAAAAUAUUGAGCGCUGUUCAGACCUGACGCAUAUCGAUUGUGCUUUGGACACAGCUCUGGAGAAGAAAACUUGGAUGUUUUUACUCACAAGACUAACUCUCCUUCUCAAAUCUUAUCCAACUAGUCUUGAAGAGGAUUUGGAAUCUUUAAUAGAUGAAUCUCUAUCAACAUGCCAGCACAAUGUCCUGAAGCUUUUGAUUUGUGAAAAAAGGAUAUUCAAUAAGUGUAUAGAAUAUGCAAAACAAAGGAUUAAAGUUUGACAUAGUUUCCUUUUACCUGCAGCCUAAUUUUUGAAAAUAUUUCUUGCUUUGUCAGCAAUAUAAUGGCAAUAUAAGACAAGACGUAGCCUUAUCUGUGCCAUGUAAUAUACCGAUUUUCAAUGUCUUGUCGUCCUGACAUUAAUUUCAACAGUCAGACUGCAGGAAUGCAAUUUUAAGUCAUACUCAAUGGCCGUGCAAUACAUCAGUGGUCUACCACAAAUAUGGUAGCCCUGCAUUAAAAAUUUAAAAAAGUUAAAAGCAUUCAAGUGCAAGUCAAAUCUUUAAAAUCGGAGGUGUUUCGUCCAUGCCGGUCUAACAUCAUCAGCGACCACCCUGCGAGGACGAAACACAUCCAGUUUGAAAGAUUUUGAAGUGCACUCAAGUAUUUUUAAGUUUUGUAAAUUUUAACAAAGUUUGUGAGCAGAGUUUCCUGAUAGAUAUUUUUAUUUAUUUAAGUGGCCCUAAUUUAAAUUCAUCCAUUUUUUUCUGGAAUCGAUUUCAUGGUUUCUAGACGUUCCUUUAAAGAAAAUUUAAAUUAGAUAUAAUGUAAAAUCAAUUUUGCAUUUAUCUCACUUAGUAACUUUCACAUCAGUAAAAUGCCCCAAGAAUGGUGAACAUAAGGUCUCAAAUGAAUCAUUUCAGAAAAUAUAAUAUUAACAGCAUGAGUGGGCUAGCUCUGAAUUUUUUGGGGAAAAGCACUAGGUCUGACUGCCCUAAAGGGGGGGGGGAUGAAGGGUGGGAUAGAGUUCAGUAGAAACUGUCUAAGGCUUUGCAAGAUUUUGUAAUCGGUCCUGAGUAUAACCUCUAAAUUCUACCAAAGGGCUAGGGGCUAAAGGCUGAGGGCUAGGCAAAACAGCUAGGAGGCGGGGGCCCCAUAGCCGCUCUGCCACUGAGUAGCAAUAUUAUUUUACACGUAUUAUGUCAUUCAGAGGGAAAGAAUUAACUUGUAAAUAUCCACCAUUAUGGCUAGUCAUUUAAAUGUCUUUGUACGAUAUAAUUUAUUCUAAGUUUUUCCUGUGAACUGUAUGGAUUAUAUGAAUGAUAGAAGUAAUUUCGUUCUCAAUCUUACUUUCCCUGUCACUUGUAAUUUGUAAACAAGAGUUAGAUAAUCUUCCAAUCAAUGAUUUUUAUAUUAUGCAGGUUAUCAUUUUUUAAGGAACAUUUUGAAAUAAGUACUCUCAAACUAAGUAUAUCAUUCUAUGCAAAGAAGCCCUUCUCUUAGCUUUUGUAUCGCUCAUAACUCCAAAACAAACCCUUUGAAUUGGAAAAUUCUAACUGUGGUAACUCAAAAUUUACAACAAGUACAUAUAAUAUAUUUUUUUGAUGAUGUAAUAAUGUGAGCCAUUUACAUGAAUGAAAAAGAAAACCAAAAGUUUGGGAACUGUUUUCUUUGAGGGCGAUUUUAGGGCUGAGGGUCUUUGUCCCUCUUCAUUGAGUCCCUCGUCCAUGUCUGAACUAUGAAGAAAGUCGCACAUUUCUCCUCAAGAUUUUACACAGAAAGCAAUUCGCACAACAGGAAGAUCGGAAAUCAACUUUUGAACGAGAUAUUACAUAAUAGAUAUUAUCAAACAAAUCAUAUGGAAGUCAAGAGUAUAUGAAAACGACAUCACUUGAAAAGGCCUAAACGAAAUGAAUUAAAUUACAUUAGACACUGCUUAAUUUUUUCUGGUGUUUUAUUUUUGAAACAAAAAACUAAGGAACCCUGGAACUUGAAAUUUUGUGAGAAUAUAUUUUUCAUAAUCCAGGGUAAUUCACAUAAAGUUUACAGGCAAUGAAUAUCUUGGUUUUCUGUUCAGAGAAAAGAGAAAAAAUCAUGAAUGAUAAUUAGGGAACACAAAAUGCUGCUAGGCUGAUUUUGGUUUGAAUGGUCCAUUUAACCAGUUUUUAUGGUAAACACUUUUAUCUUGUUUAUUGGUUGAUUUCCAGGCCUCUCGUUUCCCAGAGAAAAUAUGCAGCAUUGUGCUUCAAUUCAUACUUUGUCUGGUGGUCGAUUCAUUGUGCUUUUGAGGAUGUAAUAAAAUGCCUUUAAAACAGCUGAAUG
rnacentral:lncRNA from 1 species